GUGCUCACUUCGGCAGCACAUAUACUAAAACUGGAACGACACAGAGAAGAUUAGCAUGGCCCCCGCACAAGGAUGACACACAAAUUCGUGACGUGUUCCAUACUUAA
ensembl:snRNA U6 U6 spliceosomal RNA